CCUCCGUGACCUGCUGCGGGCAGAUGAAGUGGCAGUGGGCGUCGAUGGUGCCCGCGGUCACGAUGAGCUUCUCGCCUGCGAUCACCUCCGUGCCUGAGCCAAUGACGAGGCUCGGGUGCACCCCCGCCAUGACAUCUGGGUUGCCAGCCUUGCCUAUACCUGUGAUCACGCCGUCCUUGACCCCGAUGUCCGCCUGGCAGGGAGGUGCGGUCAGAUACAGGCCGGCGACAGCAUGAAGGGAAGCGCACCUUGUAGAUGCCGGUCCAGUCCACGAUGAGCGCGUUGGUUAUGACCAGGUCGAGGGUCUCCGCGGCCGGCCUGUUUGUGGCUUGGCCCAUUCCUUCGCGGAU
rnacentral:sRNA from 1 species